AGGAGCUGAGCGGCCCCCGGAAGUCUAGGAGGCGCGCGCGCGCCGGCGUCCGCAGGACUGCGAGGGCAGGUCCCCGCCCGGAAGUUCAGCCCCAGUUGGGGCGGCUCCCUUCUCUGCGUCCUGCCUGGGGCCUGGCCACCGCCCAGCUAGGGCGUCUCCGGCCGGCCCGCGCUCCCCACCCCGCCCUCCUCGGUCCUGAGCGCUGCGCUCCCAGGGAGAACGUUUCCGGAGCUGCACGCCCGGCGGCGAGCGAGUAUGGGCCAGAUCUCGGCCCGCGUCGCCGCUCCGCCCCUCCCUGCGGCCCGAUCGGACGCCGCGAUGCUCGAAGCCGAGGUCUCCGGGUUUGAGGAUGGAGACCACGGAGCCCGGCCCCCGGCUUCCCGCCGCCGACAAGCAGUACAAAAUUUUACUGGUCCGGAGAUAAGGUUUUGGGGACAAGCAUGUACUUUUGAAACGCCUCGAUUUUUAAAAAUACCGUCUUUCUUAUAGGCGUUAUUCCAGACAAGUUAUGCGUUCCAGAAAUACUUAAUAUUUUAAAAUUUUGUUAGUCCCCUAGGGAGGAAUUAAAGUUGCACCUUCUAAAGCUGUACUGCCAGCGUCUGCCUCAUUAAGCUCUCAAUAGACUCCUUGUAACAUAGACUGCAAACAAAAGUAACGCGGAUCAAAAUUGUUUGAAGAAACAUAUUGGCCAGAAAUUUCGUUCAGCGGUGCUGCACCUACCCAGUUAGCUCAAGGCCAUGGAUUUGAUGCUGGUACCCAAAAAAAGGGGAAGAUACCUUAAGGUCGGUAAUAAUUCCCACUUUCUGAGAACGACGGCCAAGACCCUAGCAAACAACUUACCUGCCUUCUGGCUGCUCUCCAAAGAGGAUCAGUAAAUCGCAAAUGCACACUUCUCAUGCAGUUCCUGGAAAAGAUCUUGCAGUUGCCUGCACUCCUGUUUGGUUUCUUGUAUUUGGAGUUUAUUAGUUUUGUGAAAUUUUAUAGGAGAAAUUGUGAAGCAAUUUAUUUACCCAGGGAUGACUACAAGUCAAGCUCACCCAGCAUGUCCGUCAAAUUAGCAUACAUAUUGCCAGUAAUGUGUUACAUAGAUUACCAUAAUCCUUCUGUUCGUCUCUCUUAACUCUGAGGCCCUGCUAAAUAGAACACCUGUCGAGGGUCCAUGUAUACACUGAGCUGCUUUCUAAACAGUGUCCUCUCAGUCUGCUCUUGCAAAGUUACGGCACCAAAUGAAAACAGUUGACACUGUCUCGGUCCCAUCAGGCUGCUUUAAUAGAUAAUCAGCACACACUGGGCAGCUUGUCAACAACAAAAGUUUUUCUCUCGUGGUUCUGGAGGCCUGAAAGCCAAAAGAAGGUGCCUGCAGAUUUGGUAUCUGGUUGGAGCAGCUUUGUUUCUUAGGCGGGAGCUGCUUGCUUUGUCUGCACGUGGUUCCAGGUUGAACAAGCCUCUCCCCACUACUUAAUAAGGGCACUGACUCCAUUAGUGACGGUCUCAGCCUCAUGAUGCAGUCACUUCCCCAACGGGAACUACGAUCUUAAUACCAACAACUUUGGGUUAGGGAUUCAAGAUGUGACUCUGAGGGUACCAAAACAUUCGGACAGUGCCAAGCACCAAACAUCAACAACCGGGCAAAAGGAACAGACUUCUAUCCACUGCAGGGUUGCACCUGUUAAGACACCUGGGAUUCCAAAGUCUCAAGCCUGGAAUUCUGGACUCCUUUACCACUGGCUGAGCUGGAGGGUCAUCUGAGAUGAUGCAGAUAAAUGGAUCUCACUUUUGGGGUUCAUGUGUAACUCCAUACACACACGUUACUGAGUCAUACUCCCUUCCCUCCAUGAAUACAAAACAAUCAGAACAGGCCCUCAAAGCAGCAAGAGCUACAGUGUCUAUUCUCCAGGAAGGGUCUUGGCUUUGGAAUCACCCUACAUACUCUAAACCCUGCAGCCAGUAAAGUGGAACAUAUUUAUUGAGUCUCAGCUCAGACAAAUUUGCUGUGUAGCUUUUCCUUCCUGAACUUGCAAGGCAUUAGGUCUGCUUCAUAUGUUAAUUGUCUUUUAUCUGUCUGAUAGGGUUCAAAUCUAUAUUAAUAUAUUGCAUUUGCUCAGAGGUAAUUUUUUUAUCCAUUAAAAAGUAACUUGAGGCCAGGCCUGUAAUUCCAGUAUUCGG